GUACCACAGCCGCGCGCCCCUCAUCAUCGGCAUCAUCACAAUCAAUAUAAUCAAUGCUGCUUUGGAGAGUUUGCCACCUGUUGUAAACGUUUCAGUGUCAGCACGCGUCCAAAGCGACUUGUUUUAGGAAGAAAUCCAUUGUUUGGUGAGCUUGAGAGGCACAUUUAGAGAGCAGAGGAGACAUUGUGGAUUACAGACAGGCAUGUUUCGUGUGUUCCGUGUUCAGUUGAAUGAGGAUGGGGAUGAUGAUGCCAUUUGCAAGGAGGGAUUCAUGAGAUGUGUUUCUGCGGUCCUGACCUCCAGACCAUCAGUGUACCAGCUCUCGUUCCUCAAACCUCUUCCUGAGGGUUGGUUUCUCUCUUUGGUUAUCUAGCUGUAUGAGUUUUAACACUGUUCAUAAAGCUAGAUAACCGAAAGUAGAAAUAAUUCUCAAAAUCUGUUGAAAACAAGCCUGAAAGCAAGAGAGCAUCCACUUUUACCCCCAGAGUCUUAUUUCCAUCCACAAUAUGGCACAAUAAAGUAACAACAACAAGGGCACAGCCAUCAGAGAGCAAGAGAAAGAGAGAGAGAUGCUUGGAGGAUCAUGGCAGUCUCCAUUUGCUCCAUCCUCCCUUCUCCACCUACCCAGAAAGCCCCAGUGCCAUCUGUACCCCUGUGGGGUGCGGGAGAGUCCGUGCCAGUGCCAGCGGCGACAAAACCCUCGUCAGCGUCACGGGGAGGAAGGGAGGCCAUCUUGACGGAGAUCUUACACGAGAAGCUAAGAUGGCUGGGCUGGCACAUGAGAUGUGGACUGAACUCGGUGGAUUUGACUGACUAUGCAUCCAGAGAGAACAAUGGGAGCCUCAAGCACCUGGAAUAUUAAGAGGAACAUAAAAUCAUAAUAAUGAUGAUGAUGAUGUGUGUAUGUAUGAGAGCCAGAAAAUAAUUGCACUGUACUGUAUUAUACAGUAUUUUCAUUAGUCAUUAGUAUCAUUUUAAUACAUUUCUUUACACUUAAAGGUAUUCAAAUCUUUCUAAACCUGUCAUUUUUUUUCUUUUU